rnacentral:rRNA from 1 species
UACGGAGGGUGCAAGCGUUGUUCGGAAUUACUGGGCGUAAAGCGCGUGUAGGCGGCUUGGCAAGUCGGGUGUGAAAUCCCCGGGCUCAACCCUGGAACUGCAUCCGAAACUACCUAGCUAGAGUCCUGGAGAGGAAGGCAGAAUUCCCGGUGUAGGGGUGAAAUCCGUAGAUACCGGGAGGAAUACCAGUAGCGAAGGCGGCCUUCUGGACAGUGACUGACGCUGAGACGCGAAAGCGUGGGGAGCAAACAGG